rnacentral:rRNA from 1 species
CACGUAGGGCGCGAGCGUUGUCCGGAAUUAUUGGGCGUAAAGAGCUCGUAGGCGGCCUGUUGCGUCCGCUGUGAAAGCCCCGGGGCUUAACCCCCGGGGUCGGCAGUGGAUACGGGCAGGCUAGAGGUAGGUAGGGGAGAAUGGAAUUCCCGGUGUAGCGGUGAAAUGCGCAGAUAUCGGGAAGAACACCCCGUGGCGAAGGCGGCUCUCUGGAACGCAACUGACGCUGAGACGCGAAAGCGUGGGGAGCAAACAGG